rnacentral:rRNA from 1 species
GACGAACGCUGGCGGCGUGCUUAACACAUGCAAGUCGAACGGAAAGGCCCUGCCUUUGUGGGGUGCUCGAGUGGCGAACGGGUGAGUAACACGUGAGUAACCUGCCCUUGACUUUGGGAUAACUUCAGGAAACGGGGGCUAAUACCGGAUAGGAGCUCCUGCUGCAUGGUGUUGGUUGGAAAGUUUCGGCGGUUGGGGUUGGACUUGCGGCUUAUCAGCUUGUUGGUGGGGUAGUGGCUUACCAAGGCUUUGACGGGUAGCCGGCCUGAGAGGGUGACCGGCCACAUUGGGACUGAGAUACGGCCCAGACUCCUACGGGAGGAAGCGGUGGGGAAUAUUGCACAAUGGGCGGAAGCCUGAUGCAGCAACGCCGCGUGCGGGAUGACGGCCUUCGGGUUGUAAACCGCUUUCGCCUGUGACGAAGCGUGAGUGACGGUAAUGGGUAAAGAAGCAACGGCUAACUACGUG